UUUUUUUUUUUUUUUUUUUUAAAGGAGAAUCCCUCAGUUACGCCAGCACUUAGACUUGCCACAGAUCAAGUUACCAAUUGCUUCUGUUGUGUUCACUUAUUCCCAGAUGCUCUUUGAG
rnacentral:lncRNA from 1 species